UGCCUCGUGGUGUAAUUGGCAACACGCAAGAUUCUGGUUCUUGUUUUCUAGGUUCGAUUCCUAGCGAGGCAG
rnacentral:tRNA from 1 species